UGGUUACGUACGAUCACCGAAGUUAAGCAACGCCGAGCCUUAUCAGUACUUAGAUGUGUGACCACUUGGGAAUAACAGGU